rnacentral:lncRNA from 10 species
UGCAGGACAUGCUCCACUGUUGGACCUGAGGCAAAUUUUUGUGGAAUAUCAAUAAUUUUGGAUGAUAACAGAGAAAAAUGACACCGAACCACGUGGACUUGCCAGAGAUGGACUCCAACUGGAGGCCAGAAAGCAGAAGAGCCUGGAAAUGCCAUCUAUGAAGGUCGGCCUCUGAGCAGCCCAGAGAAAAGCAGAAAUGAGACUGGGGCAGCCAAGAGUGAAUAACCAGCACGGUAGCUGACGCAGUGCGGUACACAAAGGGCGCGCUUCCAGUAAGACCUCAAGGCCCAUGUGCUGCUUUGAAUUCAACUGAACCGAAUGGAGAAACUGGUUGCAAGUAAAGGGUGUUAUGUGGUAAAGGCAACUGGACCCUGGACCGCUAGGGUUUCACUUCCAGCUUAUC